GUCGUAACAAGGUAGCCGUAUCGGAAGGUGCGGCUGGAUCACCUCCUUUCUAAGGAAAAACGGAAUGUACUUGAGUUUCUUAUUUAGUUUUGAGAGGUCUUGUGGGGCCUUAGCUCAGCUGGGAGAGCGCCUGCUUUGCACGCAGGAGGUCAGCGGUUCGAUCCCGCUAGGCUCCAUUGAAUCGAAAGAUUCAAGUAUUGUCCAUUGAAAAUUGAAUAUCUAUAUCAAAUUCCAUAUGUAAGUAAUUACAUAUAGAUAGUAACAAGAAAAUAAACCGAAACGCUGUGAAUAUUUAAUGAGUUAGGUCGAAAGGCCAAAAAUAAGGUUAAGUUAAUAAGGGCGCACGGUGGAUGCCUUGGC
rnacentral:misc_RNA from 1 species